rnacentral:lncRNA from 1 species
AGGGGAAGAGGCAGAGAGAGCACCAAGAGGAUGUAGGGUUGAGGGGUGGUGAGUGGAAACAGGUGGCCGUAGCGAGGGCGCGGAUGAGGGGGAGGUGGGCACCCAGAAGGAGGGGCCGUACUCGAAGGUGCGCGCGUGGUGCAGGACUAGGUUCUUCAGGGUACGAGACCGGGUUUUUCGUGUUGCGGCGUCUAGGUGAGAUAGGAUCUUGGGAACCAGCCGUCUUGGUAGAGCGGUAUUGGGGGGGCGCCGAGCUGGCUACCCUCCCCCCCUGUGGUUUCCGGAGGCUUGAUCGCCCUGCGUUGCCGCAGGGUCUUCCCGUUUGAGUACUUUUCAAGUUAGUCCCAGUGCUGUGGAAGGGCGCGGACUUGUGCGGUGUUACCCCCCCGACGGGGGCUAUCUCCCCUGGACUAGCCCAGGGAGGGAGAGGCGGAGGAGGGUAGUGGUCUCAGGAGGCUGUUUGGCGUCUUGUGGUGUGAGCUCUUUGCGCUCUUUUUUUGCAUGAGGAUUUUUGAGCUUGGUGACCUCCCCAGCCCGGGAUGACUCGUCGGGCUCCCGGUCGCCCAGGUCCUGGUAGCGAGCUCUCUGAGAUGCUCGGUUCGUUCGGUCGGCAGGAAGAGCCCCCCAGUUGCGACUUCGUUUAUGUUAGGAGACCAACGGGCAUAGAUCCCGUCUAGUUGGAGCGCCAAACAAGCGCUGUUGCGUGCCGGCCGUCGUUUCCCGUGCGGCCUGACCCGGGGGCGGAGUGCAUGAGACUAACCAGCCGUAUGCACCCGCCCCUCGCGCUGUGCUUCGGCCCUGGGCCCCCGGCUUUUCAGCCCACAGUGUAAUCAACGUCAUACAUACAUACAUACAUACAUACAUACAUACAUACAUACAUACAUACAUACAUACAUACAUACAUACAUACAUACAUGCAUGCAUACAUACAUACAUACAUACAUACAUACAUACAUACAUACAUA